rnacentral:rRNA from 1 species
UGAGGAAUAUUGGUCAAUGGCCGUAAGGCUGAACCAGCCAAGUAGCGUGAAGGAUGACCGCCCUAUGGGUUGUAAACUUCUUUUAUAAAGGAAUAAAGUCGCCUACGUGUAGGUGUUUGUAUGUACUUUAUGAAUAAGCAUCGGCUAACUCCGUGCCAGCAGCCGCGGUAAUACGGAGGAUGCGAGCGUUAUCCGGAUUUAUUGGGUUUAAAGGGAGCGCAGACGGGCUGUUAAGUCAGCUGUGAAAUGCCGCGGCUCAACCGUGGACCUGCAGUUGAUACUGGCGGCCUUGAGUGCGGUUGAGGCAGGCGGAAUUCGUGGUGUAGCGGUGAAAUGCUUAGAUAUCACGAAGAACCCCGAUUGCGAAGGCAGCCUGCCAAUCCGUUACUGACGUUCAUGCUCGAAGGUGCGGGUAUCAAACAGG